ACUCCUACGGGAGGCAGCAGUGGGGAAUAUUGCACAAUGGGCGCAAGCCUGAUGCAGCCAUGCCGCGUGUGUGAAGAAGGCCUUCGGGUUGUAAAGCACUUUCAGUUGUGAGGAAGGUGGUGGUCGUUAAUACGGCAUCAUUUGACGUUAGCAACAGAAGAAGCACCGGCUAACUCCGUGCCAGCAGCCGCGGUAAUACGGAGGGUGCGAGCGUUAAUCGGAAUUACUGGGCGUAAAGCGCAUGCAGGUGGUUUGUUAAGUCAGAUGUGAAAGCCCGGGGCUCAACCUCGGAAUUGCAUUUGAAACUGGCAGACUAGAGUACUGUAGAGGGGGGUAGAAUUUCAGGUGUAGCGGUGAAAUGCGUAGAGAUCUGAAGGAAUACCGGUGGCGAAGGCGGCCCCCUGGACAGAUACUGACACUCAGAUGCGAAAGCGUGGGAGCAAACAGGAUUAGAUACCCUGGUAGGUGA
rnacentral:rRNA from 1 species